UCCUAACAUCUUGAAUUUAUCCUUUAUUGGGAAUUUGUAGAGCAAUGAGAGGAUUAGGAUUUACUUUUCCUAUGGUCAUCUGUUCAUUUACACUGUCUGAACAGAAUUCCUCCUAUGUUUCUAUUUUUUUUAUGGUUCUUAGACAACAAAGAGCUUAAAAACAUGCUAUUGUCAAGAACUCUGGUAGGUGGGAAUGUGAUCACAGGAGAUGUUUUUAAGUUAAAUCUUUAUUGAUUGCCUGUCAUAUGUGUUUUUUUGUGUACUGUGUACACCACAUGAGUUCUGAGCAGGACAGACGUAGCUAUCUCUUUCAGAACUCUUACUGUCUUGUUGUUGACAGAAUAUGUUCAACUUGAUUCCAGAAUAGUACAUUAAACAUUCUCAUUCCAUUGAUCAUAAUGCAAACCAAAGACUUUAUACUUUGAGAAGCCCUUUGCUGGGAAGAAGGAAGAGAGAGAUGAAGAGAAGUUAUGACAGGAGAGGAGGUGUUGGACAGAACUGUGAAGUUUCUGUGCUUUGCUUGGCAUGCAGGUUGUCCUUGACCUUGCCCUUUCUCUUAUCACAUCUUCUACUGUAUUGCAAAUCAUUUGAAAUGACUCACAAGGCCUAAGUCAAAGUCCCCUCUCUAUCACGUGUCUGCUCUUUAGCUUAGACAGAAACACAAAAUGUCAUGAGCCUCAGAUUUCUAAUCUGUAGAAGGUUGUGUAGUAAUUAUAGCUGCAUUGCUACCUUGCCAGGGUGAUAUGAGAAUCAAACAAGACAGGUCUCUGUAGCGUUAAGGGCAUUAUUACUUGGGAGUAAUUUGAGGUGCCUUUCUGGAAGAAGUGCUGAGGAACAUCCACUGCCACAGGGAAUCUAUAAGGAGCAGUGGUGGUGGUGGUUGUAGGGGAUCUGAAUCCUUUGCCUUUGCUCUUUCUGUUGUUCUAAUCCAAGCAAAGCAUCUGAUGAGGUCAUCAUUUCUCUUUUCUGUGAGAUUCAGACAGGAAGUCACACUCCCCUCAGCUAUUACCCAAGAUACUUGCUUCUGACCUUCAAGUUGAAGGAGGUAGCAGGUUAGACUAGGAGAGGUAUCUGUGUUAAAGCUGCUGUGUAGUGUCUGGGAAAGGCUGCUGUGCAAUGUCUGGGAAAGUCAUUAAAGACUCUUCUCUCUGUUCUUUCUACAGGUUGGUGAAUUCAGGCCUUACAUCGAUUUGUUGUUCAGCUCUGUCUUCUGCACUCAAAACUAACCAGAAUCUCACACAUCUUUACCUACGAGGCAAUGCACUUGGAGACAUGGGGCUUAAGCAACUCUGUGAGGGACUCUUGCACCCUGGCUGCAAGCUUCAGAUGUUGGAGUUAGACAACUGCAGUCUCACCUCACACUGCUGCUGGGAUCUUUCCACAAUUCUGACCUCCAACCAAAGCUUGCGAAAACUGAGCCUAGGCAAUAAUGACCUUGGUGAUCUGGGUGUCAUGAUGCUCUGUGAGGUCCUGAAACAGCAGGGCUGCCUCCUGCAAAACCUGCAGUUGUGUGAAAUGUAUUUCAAUUAUGAGACAAAAUGUGCCUUAGAAGCACUUCAGGAAGAAAAACCCGAGUUGACCAUUGUCUUUGAGCCUUCUUGGUAAGGAUGGAAACAAGAUUGCCAGAUGCUGAUGUUUGUUGGAUACCACCAUCCAGGUGCACGCAGGUGCAGUGAGCACCCUCCAUGGAGCAAAACCACAGCUCUGCAAUUCUUCUGGUCCAGUGCCAGAGCACAAAGACUUGCUUAUCAUGCCCUCAUGGUGGAGAUUUAAGCAUCACCUUGACCUCUGGAUGAAGACAUCAGGGACAGAAAAUCAUCCAGAUGAUGUUGUUCUCAUGCAGUGCCUUCGCUGGAGGAUGCUCUCUUUUGAUGACCUCAUGUAGUUAACUCAUUCAAUAAAACAACUCUUCUUACUUUCUUUCUAACUUUCCUUUCUGUACCUUUUCCCCUUCUUUGUUCUGUACACUUUUCUCAUAUCAUCAUUUCUGCUGGGUUUCCAUUAACUGACCAUAAUACAGAACUAGUUGACUGUAUGUUAUGUGGCGAUUUUGUGGCAGCUACUUAUUUAUUUUAAAUUUUUGUGACAAUUAUAUUUUCUAAUAAAAAGAAUUUAUGCUUAUUUUAGUUAUUUGAAAAUUUGGCAAUAUGCAAAAGCUCUUAUAUUUAUUAAGUUAAACUAUUUUCUUAUUUAAAAAAGUGUCUAGAAAUCUUUAAAAUUAUUUACUUAAAAUAUAAAGACAAAUUGCUUUAUGCAUUUAAAAAAUCUCUUUGCAAAAUGAUUCAAUUGUGCUAAAUGGGAAAAAAAAUCAUCUUACCCUACCUCUGAUGGGUAGAUUUUCAGCUCUAGCAGUACAGAGAGUGACGCCAUGCAGAGGAAGGUUGUAGAAUAACCUACACCCACAAAUAGAAGUAUUGUGUGGAAAAUGCAUCUUGCUUUUGGUUGAUAGUAAUUUAUCCUGGGGGCUGGGAAGUGGCUGAACUGGUAGAGUGCCAGCCUAGAAAGGGUAAGGCCCUGAGUUCAAACACCAGUACCACCAAAAAAAUGCAUAAUUUAUUUUGGACUAACCCGUCUGAAGAAUAGUUCGUUGACUAUGCUUCACAUAGCAUUAAGUCAUGAGCAAAUUAUUGGGUGAUUGCUUCAGUAUACGUGGAUAACUUUUGAAGCAAAUGGCAUUACUUUGAUGGAAAUAUUCCUACUUCUGUCCAGUAAACCAUUUUGACCUUUAAUAUGCAAAGUGUGGCCUAUGAGCUGUUGACAUAAGGAACAUGUGCAAGAAUGUAAAAUAAUUACAUUACUAAAAAUGCUUUUUAGAUAAGCUGGCUUUUUAAAAACUAGUAAGACUAUUUUAAUAAAGGAAACUAUGUGAUUUAUAUUUCAGUGCAUACUCUUUUUUCCAUUCUGGGAUUGUGUAUGUGUGUGAUGCUGUGGAUCUCAACCACUGAGCUACAUCUCCAGCUCCAGCCCAGGUCUAGUAUCUAUCUAUGUAUGCCCUUUCUGCAUCAUGGUGAAGUUCUCUAUUGCAGAUUACUUCCCUGCUACAAAACCUGAACAAAAUAAUGUAAUUAAAGAUACAUGGAUGGAAUUGGAGCACAUUAUAGUAAGUUAAAUAAGCCAGGCACAGAAAGACAAAUACCUUAUGUUAUCGUAUAUAUGUGGAAACUAAAAUGGUUGAUUUUAUAGAAGUUGAAAGUAGAAUAGUAGUCAUUGGAGGUUGGGAAUAGGAGGAGGUGAUGGAAAUCAAGGUUGGAUAAGAGCUACUAAAAUAUGGUUACCUACAAGGAAUAAGUUCUAAUGCUCUACAGCACAGUAGUGUGACUGUAGUUCAUGAUAAUCUAUUAUAUGAUUUAUAAGGAACUAGAAGAGAGGUGUUUGAAGACUCCUAUCACAAAGAAAUGGUAAAUGUUAAAAAGAUGGAAAUUUCUCUGAUUUGAUCAUUGCACACUGUAUUCAUGUUUUAGAUUAUCAUACUGUAACCAUAAAUAUGUGACAUUAUUGUAUUUCUUAUGUUUUCUCCUAUGAGAACUAGUCAUCUAAUAUUGACUCACUCAAUGAUGUUUCCAUUGGUGUUGAUGAAGUUGCUAUAAUUUCGUGAACUCAUACUAUACUUUAUUACGUUGCACUGCUCAAUGGCCUUCUAUUUGAUACUAUGAUGACAUUGGUAGCAAGUAACCACUGAUCUGCUCUUAGUCCACAUCUGGAAAUGCCUGGGCCAGCUGAUUUUUCACUGUAAAAAUUUGACUUAGUAGAUAUGCUUGUCCCAUUUUGCACUCAACUCUAUGGACUUGGCUGUGGUUUUCCUAAUAAUCCAUGUUUGUGAUUUUUGAAACUUUUUAUAUGCUUAUCAGAAUUACUCCACUGGCAUUUUCAAACCGCCCAUGUAGCUCUGCUGUCUUGUAAUUUCUUUGGUGGACUAUGAGCUCUUGUAAGAAUGUCUACAGGUGUGAAGCACCAUUACAUUAUAUUUUGCUAUCAAAAUGUGUGAGUGGGGUCAGAGAACCAAAAGGCUAGGGACACACUAUCCUGUUAUUGUAAAUCUUUGCUCUGUAACUAGCACAGAGUUGUCCAAAUGGACUACACUACCCAUUUCUCUUAUUUAAUUUUUUAAGAACAAUAGGUAAUAAAAUCCAUAUAAGUUGAAUUAUUGUUUGAUAUUUGUGGUCACAACUAGUGAUGUUCUAGUUGACAUAAUUGACUUCCUGAUCACCCUCUGUAUUACUCAGUUUUGCAUUGCUACAACAAAAUACCUGAGGCAGACUGACUUUAUAAAGAAAAGGUUUAUUUAGCUUACAGUUUUGGAGGCUGAAAGUACAAACAGCAGGGUUCAAGCUCUGUGGAAGGCCCCUGGCAGAUGGAGUGGCCUGAGAUCUGGAUGUAAACUCUGCCAAGCCCUCAGCAAUGGCUUUGGUUUGGAAAUUGUCCUUACACUUGUUUUUCUUGCACCAUGUUUCUCUUGAACUUAUCUUGAUAGCUGAUGAAAAACUCCAGUCAAGACAUAAACUACAGGAAGUUGUAGUUACAGAUAGGGAAUAGGGAAUUCAUGU